UACGUAGGGUGCAAGCGUUGUCCGGAAUUAUUGGGCGUAAAGAGCUCGUAGGCGGUUUGUCGCGUCGAAUGUGAAAACCCGGGGCUCAACCCCGGGCCUGCAUUCGAUACGGGCAGACUAGAGUUCGGUAGGGGAGUCUGGAAUUCCUGGUGUAGCGGUGAAAUGCGCAGAUAUCAGGAGGAAUACCGGUGGCGAAGGCGGCAUCCUGGACCGACAUUGACGCUGAGGAGCGAAAGCCAGGGGAGCAAACGGG
rnacentral:rRNA from 1 species